rnacentral:rRNA from 1 species
UGGGGAAUAUUGCGCAAUGGGCGGAAGCCUGACGCAGCGACGCCGCGUGGGGGAUGACGGCCUUCGGGUUGUAAACCUCUUUCGACCGGGACGAAGCGUGAGUGACGGUACCGGUAGAAGAAGCACCGGCCAACUACGUGCCAGCAGCCGCGGUAAUACGUAGGGUGCGAGCGUUGUCCGGAAUUAUUGGGCGUAAAGAGCUCGUAGGCGGUGUGUCGCGUCGAUCGUGAAAACGUACAGCUUAACUGUGCGCGUGCGGUCGAUACGGGCAUCACUGGAGUUCGGCAGGGGAGACUGGAAUUCCUGGUGUAGCGGUGAAAUGCGCAGAUAUCAGGAGGAACACCGGUGGCGAAGGCGGGUCUCUGGGCCGAUACUGACGCUGAGGAGCGAAAGCGUGGGGAGCGAACAGGAUUAGAUACCCCUGUAGUCC